AUUCCGGUUGAUCCUGCCGGAGGUCAUUGCUAUUGGAGUCCGAUUUAGCCAUGCUAGUUGUACGAGUUGAGACUCGUAGCAGAUAGCUCAGUAACACGUGGCCAAACUACCCUAUAGAUCCAGACAACCUCGGGAAACUGAGGCUAAUCCGGAAUAGGGCUCUCAUCUUGGAGUGGAGAGAGCCUGAAACGCUCCGGCGCUAUAGGAUGUGGCUGCGGCCGAUUAGGUAGACGGUGGGGUAACGGCCCACCGUGCCAGUAAUCGGUACGGGUUGUGAGAGCAAGAGCCCGGAGACGGUAUCUGAGACAAGAUACCGGGCCCUACGGGGCGCAGCAGGCGCGAAACCUUUACACUGCACGCCACUGGAUUAAGGGGACUCCAAGUGCGAGGGCAUAUAGUCCUCGCUUUUUGCGACCGUAAGGUGGUCGCGGAAUAAGUGCUGGGCAAGACCGGUGCCAGCCGCCGCGGUAAUACCGGCAGCACGAGUGAUGACCGCUGUUAUUGGGCCUAAAGCGUCCGUAGCUGGCCGCACAAGUCUAUCGGGAAAUCUCUCCGCUUAACGGAGAGGCGUCCGGUGGAAACUGUGUGGCUUGGGACCGGAAGACCAGAGGGGUACGUCUGGGGUAGGAGUGAAAUCCCGUAAUCCUGGACGGACCACCGGUGGCGAAAGCGCCUCUGGAAGACGGAUCCGACGGUGAGGGACGAAAGCUCGGGUCACGAACCGGAUUAGAUACCCGGGUAGUCCGAGCUGUAAACGAUGUCUGCUAGGUGUGACACAGGCUACGAGCCUGUGUUGUGCCGUAGGAAGCCGUGAAGCAGACCGCCUGGGAAGUACGUCCGCAAGGAUGAAACUUAAAGGAAUUGGCGGGGGAGCACUACAACCGGAGGAGCCUGCGGUUUAAUUGGACUCAACGCCGGACAUCUCACCAGCAUCGACAAUGUGCAGUGACGGUCAGUAUGAUGAGCUUACCUGAGCCAUUGAGAGGAGGUGCAUGGCCGCCGUCAGCUCGUACCGUGAGGCGUCCUGUUAAGUCAGGCAACGAGCGAGACCCGCACCCUUAAUUGCCAGCAGCACCCUUGUGGUGGCUGGGUACAUUAAGAGGACUGCCAGUGCCAAACUGGAGGAAGGAACGGGCAACGGUAGGUCAGUAUGCCCCGAAUGUGCUGGGCGACACGCGGGCUACAAUGGCCAAGACAGUGGGAUGCAACGCCGAAAGGCGACGCUAAUCUCCGAAACUUGGUCGUAGUUCGGAUUGAGGGCUGAAACUCGCCCUCAUGAAGCUGGAUUCGGUAGUAAUCGCGCCUCAGAAGGGCGCGGUGAAUACGUCCCUGCUCCUUGCACACACCGCCCGUCAAAGCACCCGAGUGGGGUCCGGAUGAGGCCCGGUUUCCGGGUCGAAUCUGGCUCCGCAAGGGGGCUUAAGUCGUAACAAGGUAGCCGUAGGGGAAUCUGCGGCUGGAUCACCUCCU
rnacentral:rRNA from 1 species